rnacentral:miRNA from 1 species
CCUCCAGCGCGAGCCCCUGCA